rnacentral:tRNA from 1 species
GUUUUUAUAGUUGAAUUACAACGGUGAUUUUUCAUAUCAUUGGUUUUGAUUACAAUCCAAGUAGAAAUU